AUGCUCAUUUUGCACCACAGAUACUAAUAUUGUACAGAGAAGAUUAGCGUGGCUCCUAGGCAAGGAUGAUAUGCAGAUUCAUGAAAUAUUUCAUAUUUAA
ensembl:snRNA U6 U6 spliceosomal RNA